AUGGUUAACGCCAGAGUCCUGUAAAUGAGCCCAGCUCCACGUGUUCUCUUAAAUCAGCAAAGCCACACCCUCACGGGAAAGCCCGAGAACAAAGCUCCAGGACCUCCCUCUGCUCUCUGGUUCCCCAUGGCCUCCAGACUGCCCCUCGGGCUCCAGACGCUCCCCGAACUUCUCCAGGAUGUCAUUAAACCAGAGUGAGAUGCAUGUUUCAGGAAAUCAGCUCAGAAAUUGCAAUGGCAGAAAAAAAAAAAAAACUCACCUUUUUAUAUAACAAGGAGAUACAACUUUUAAC